rnacentral:rRNA from 4 species
UAACCCAAGGUUGACCUCGGAUCAGGUAGGAAGACCCGCUGAACUUAAGCAUAUCAAUAAGCGGAGGAAAAGAAACCAACAGGGAUUGCCCUAGUAACGGCGAGUGAAGCGGCAACAGCUCAAAUUUGAAAUCUGGCUUCGGCCCGAGUUGUAAUUUGCAGAGGAAGCUUUAGGCGCGGCACCUUCUGAGUCCCCUGGAACGGGGCGCCAUAGAGGGUGAGAGCCCCGUAUAGUUGGAUGCCUAGCCUGUGUAAAGCUCCUUCGACGAGUCGAGUAGUUUGGGAAUGCUGCUCAAAAUGGGAGGUAAAUUUCUUCUAAAGCUAAAUACCGGCCAGAGACCGAUAGCGCACAAGUAGAGUGAUCGAAAGAUGAAAAGCACUUUGAAAAGAGGGUUAAAUAGCACGUGAAAUUGUUGAAAGGGAAGCGCUUGUGACCAGACUUGCGCCGGGCAGAUCAUCCGGUGUUCUCACCGGUGCACUCUGCCCGGCUCAGGCCAGCAUCGGUUCUCGCGGGGGGAUAAAGGCAUCGGGAACGUGGCUCCUCCGGGAGUGUUAUAGCCCGUUGCGUAAUGCCCUCGCGGGGACCGAGGUUCGCGCAUCUGCAAGGAUGCUGGCGUAAUGGUCAUCAGCGAC